UAUUUACCAAUGAAUGGCCUGUGCUCAUUGCCAUCCCCGGCUCUUGCCUGCUUCCCUGUUCUUAUACCUUUUGCUUCUUCUAGGGGCUGAUGCUGCCCUCAGUGCUGAGUUGCCAAACCAAGAACCUCAUCACAACGCAGUGCCCCAGUUGCUUUGCUCCUUGUCUAGCAUUUGUUUCCCACACUCUCUGUGGGACUUUUUUUGUUCCCCUGCGAUACUUUUUUUGUGCCCCUGUGAUACCUUAGCUUUCUCCCUGCUCCUCAUCCUAUACUCUUUCUCUAUUCUUAAUACUUCUACCCACUCUGAGAUGCUUCUUCUCCCUGCUUUCCUCCUGGGCCCAGGCCAGGCCAUACCUAUAUAAUCUAUCAAAAAUGGCUCAACCGUUUGUCUCUGUCACUAGCAGUCACUGCUCCAACGGAGCUUAAACCAACUUCAGCUAAAUGGAAUUGCAACACAAUUGGUGGCUUCCAGGGACAUAUUUAUACUUUAACGAAGAACUGUAGGGGAGGCAAACCUUUAACUCCAAGGAAUGAGUCCCUAGUUAUUGGAUAUUAACCACUAUAAUAGGUUAUGGCAGUCAAAUAUUUAGGACAAAGCUGCCUUCUCUAUUCUCAAAGACCUCAGUUUGCUUCAUGUAUUUUGGGGCUUUAUUGCUAGGUUGAAAUAUAUUUAUAAUAGUGAUUUCUUCUGGAUGGAUUGACCCUUUAUCAUUAUAAAGUGUCCUUGUUUGUCUUUGGUAACAAUUUUUGUCUCAAACUUGAUUUAUUUUAUUUUAUUUUUUUUGAGAUGCAAUUUCCCUCUUGUUGCCCAGGCUGGAGUGCAGUGGCGUGAUCUCGGCUCGCCACAACCUCCACCUCCCAGGUUCAAGCGAUUCUCCUGCCUCAGCCUCCCGAGUUGCUGAGACUACAGGCACCCACCACCACGCCUGGCUAAUUUUUUUGUAUUUUUAGUAGAGAUGGGGUUUCACCAUGUUGGCCAGGCUGGUCUUGAGCUCCUGACCUCAGGUGAUCUGCCUGCCUCGGCCUCCCAAAGUGCUGGGAUUACAGGUGUGAGCCACCGUGCCAAUUUUGUCUGAUAUUAGUGUAGCCACUUCAGCUCUCUUUUUAUUGCUGUUUGCAUUGUAUAUCUUUAUCUUUUACAUCCUUUUAAUUUCAAUCUAGUUGUACUUUUAAAUCUAAAGUGAGUCUCUUGGAGACAGCGUAUAGUUGGAUCAUGUUUUUUAAAUCUAUUCUUCCAAUCUCUUAAUUGGAAAGUUUAAUUUAUGUGCAUUUAAUAUAAUUGAAAAAGUAAGAUUUGUCUGCCACUUUGCUAUUUAUUUUCUAUACAUCAUAUGUCUUUUUAAAUCUCAUGUUCUUUCAUUACUGCCUUCUUUUAUGUUAAAUAGAUAUUUUCUUUCAUUCUCUUGUUUCAUUUACUAUAUAUUUUUGAAUUAUUCUCUUGGUAGUUGCCCUGGGGAUUACCAUUAAUAUCUGAAUUUAUAACCAUCUGUUCAUGUUAAUACCAGCUUAAUUUCAAGUAUACAAAAAUGUUGCUCUAAAGUGGUCCUGUUUUCCCCUCCCAUAUGCUAUUAUUGUCACAAAUUUCAUCUUAAUACAUUUUGUGCCCAUCAACAUACAUUUAUAAUUAUUGCCAUACACAUUUUAUUUAAAUCAGAAAAAAAGAGUUACCAACAAAAAAUAAAUUUGUAUUGUUUUAUA
rnacentral:lncRNA from 10 species